rnacentral:rRNA from 1 species
UACGUAGGGGGCGAGCGUUGCUCGGAAUUACUGGGCGUAAAGGGUGUGUAGGCGGCUGAGCAAGUCGUGGAUGAAAUCCCGAGGCUUAACCUCGGAAUGGUCCUCGAUACUGCUCAGCUUGAGGGCAGUGGAGGAGAAUGGAAUUCCCGGUGGAGCGGUGAAAUGCGUAGAUAUCGGGAGGAACACCUGAGGCGAAGGCGAUUCUCUAUGCUGUUCCUGACGCUGAGACACGAAAGCUAGGGGAG